rnacentral:rRNA from 1 species
AUUGAACGCUGGCGGCAGGCCUAACACAUGCAAGUCGAGCGGUAGAGAGGUGCUUGCAUCUCUUGAGAGCGGCGGACGGGUGAGUAAUGCCUAGGAAUCUGCCUAGUGGUGGGGGAUAACGUUCGGAAACGGACGCUAAUACCGCAUACGUCCUACGGGAGAAAGCGGGGGAUCUUCGGACCUCGCGCCAUUAGAUGAGCCUAGGUCGGAUUAGCUAGUUGGUGAGGUAAUGGCUCACCAAGGCGACGAUCCGUAACUGGUCUGAGAGGAUGAUCAGUCACACUGGAACUGAGACACGGUCCAGACUCCUACGGGAGCAGCAGUGGGGAAUAUUGGACAAUGGGCGAAAGCCUGAUCCAGCCAUGCCGCGUGUGUGAAGAAGGUCUUCGGAUUGUAAAGCACUUUAAGUUGGGAGG